UUUGCUAAUCUGGAUAUUCAGUUCAUUUUCUGUAUCUUCUGCUUCGAUUAUGACUUUGUUUACUACGUUCCGUGCUUUACAUACUCAGUACAUAUUUCGUACUGACCCCCUUCCUUCGGGGGCUGCGUUUUCAUGCCGCGCAGGUACAGACGACAGAUUUGCUGACCGCCUGCCUAGGAUAUCUAUUCUGCUAUUUUGGGAGUGCUCUUUUGUCCAGAGCCUAUAUGUUGGUACAGUCUGCUGCUAUUGUAUAUAUGUAUGCUAUUCAGGGGUAUGACGGGGCCCUGUCCCGUCUUAUGAUUCUGUUAUGUUCUGUAGAGGUCUGUAGACAUACUUGUGUGGGUUCUGUAUAUGGUUUGGGAUGAUAUGAUCUGUGACAGCCUUAUCGGCUUCCAUGUACUAUGUCGGUUCAUUUAUGAUAAUUACUAACGUCGAUUGACUUUUACAUUUAAAAAUAUUCUGCUGAUAUGCUAGUCUGGGUUAUUGGGUACGUUUGAGUGUCCAGCACGGACACUAGUCGCGGCCUACGGAGUUGGGUCGUGACAAUAAAAGUCCUACCUUAUUUUAGUGCCAAGGUACCCUUCUCAAAAAAUUUUAGUGCCAAGGUCAUGCACUCGUUUGAAGCCCAAGCAGAUGGCGGGCUAAGUCUAGAGGUUGGCGAUGAUGUGGUAGUUCGGCAGGUAGCUCCAAAUGGAUGGUCUGAAGGAGAAUACAACGGUAAGUCCAGUUGGUUUCCCUCGGCUUAUGCUGAAAAGUCACACAAAGUACCGGCAAGCAAAAUGGCGAAAACGGACACCACCCGAUAAGAUAAAACACUAAAUUAUCAUGCUAUCCUCAUAUAAACCUUUGCUUUUUUUGUAAACUUCCACUUGUAUAGGUGUUUGAGGACUUUUCCGUUUUGCUUCCUUUUUUUUUUUUUCUUCUCCCGAUGUAAAUGCAUCAAAGCUUAUAAUCAAGUUUAUUAUUUGCAGAUGUCCCAAGAUCAGUCAAUUUUGAUACGGGAAAA